UACGUAGGUGGCAAGCGUUAUCCGGAUCUAUUGGGCGUAAAGAGAACGCAGGCGGUCUUUUAAGUCUGAUGUGAAAGCCUUCGGCUUAACCGGAGUAGUGCAUUGGAAACUGGGAGACUUGAGCGCAGAAGAGGAGAGUGGAACUCCAUGUGUAGCGGUGAAAUGCGUAGAUAUAUGGAAGAACACCAGUGGCGAAAGCGGCUCUCUGGUCUGUAACUGACGCUGAGGUUCGAAAGCGUGGGUAGCAAACAGG
rnacentral:rRNA from 1 species